rnacentral:rRNA from 1 species
UACGGGGGGAGCAAGCGUUGUUCGGAUUUACUGGGCGUAAAGGGUGCGUAGGUGGCGCUGUAAGUCGGGUGUGAAAUUUCGGAGCUUAACUCCGAAACUGCAUUCGAUACUGCGGUGCUUGAGGACUGGAGAGGAGACUGGAAGUCAUGGUGUAGCAGUGAAAUGCGUAGAGAUCAUGAGGAAGACCAGUGGCGAAGGCGGGUCUCUGGACAGUUCCUGACACUGAGGCACGAAGGCCAGGGGAGCAAACGGG